AGGACCUAUACAGAAGUCCCACUCUCGUGUGCGACAUGGCACCUUUUUUCCACUGCGCAUGCGUUAGGUCCGCCAUCUUCCUAGCAAGUAAAACCGCAGCAAGCUAAUAGUAAAUUGUAUGGCGAAACACCGAGUCGAUGCAAGAAAACUUCAAUAAAACGCUCAAAUUUCAUCGAAUCGCCAUAAAAAUUAUAGGGGAUGAAAGAACACACAUUUCUAAAUGAUAAUAAGGUGUAAUGGAUGAAAUUCCGCGCAUUUAUACUGGAUAAAACGGGCGUGAGUGUCGAACAAUAAUCGAUUCAAUUAUAUGAAUUUCAAGCGUUUUCGAAUCAAGUAAGUUUUAUAACUGUCUUUGACAAUUUUAUGCAUGGGAAUGUUCAUUUAAUGUUUGAACCAUUACACUAGAUCUAACUGCUUUGUAUUUAGUCACGAGAAAAGUCUUUGUAAGUUAAUUUCUCUGCAAUUUGCAAUGACAUAUUUAAUAUAUUAAAUAUAUCACUGAUGGCACUGAAGACAAUGCCUGAGUUCUAGAGCUUUAUUAAGGAAACUCUAUUCUUGUAUUUAAAAUUGCAGCAGGCAACCAAACGCUAUUGUCGAUGUUUUUAAUAUUGUACUUGAAAUUUAUCUAUUUGUGUCUUGUAUAUAGCUGAUGGAACCCAAUGAGGCAAUGACCAGUAUGAGGAAUGGACUGAUUUCACGGAAAGAAGAGAUUAUUUCAUUGGGCUGAUUGGCACCCAAAAUUAAUUUUUACAAUAUUGAGUCAGUUGGGUUCAUGGCUUGUUUGACAUUCAUAAAACAUGGCGUAUUUGUGUGCAACACUUCAGGACAAAGGAAAUGUGUAUUAUUGCAUUACAGAUUUAAUAUGAGAUCUAUACAUCUUGGUAGCCAAGUUGGUUGAAGGAUAGCCCAAAGACAUUUCAGUUAAUGGUAUGGUGGACAUAUCUGAAGAUGUUGUCCCCAAACCCAUAAUUCCCACAAGAAUGACCAGAUCAUCUGGUACCAACAUUUUAUCCUUCCACCCACAGAAAGCAGGACUUUGUCUAGCACUUUCCAGAGCUUGUAUUUCUCAUGUGUAACAAACUGUCUUCCAGCAGACUUAAGAGAACCUAACACAUUCUUAAAGUACAAAUACAUUUAAGAGAUUGUUAGGAGACUAUUACUCGAAAGCCCUGCAUUGAUGCAGAGGAUGCAAGAACAUGGAAAUCUAUGUUUAAACUAUAAAGGUUGUCGACGUUUGAACUAUGUUAUUAACUGCUGUUUCUAGACGUUUGUUGUUAAAAGGCCCACAGUAAUUGGUUUUAACUGUUGUGGUGCUUUCACAGCAAUUGUCAUUAGUAUACAGUAGUAUUAUAUAUUUAUAAUGUAAUGUAUGUAUUGUAUCCAUGUUGUUAUUAAUAUUCAGGGUCGAUUUACUGGGGGGGGUGCACCCCCUAGCCCUGGCCAGAGGGGGUGCACCCCCCUAGCCCUGGCCAGAGGGGGUGCAGGGGGUUCUGCUAUAUUUCAUGAUAAAACAAAAAAUUAUUAGAGACAAAAUGAGAUACAGUAAUUUGAGUAAUAACAUGAUGAUAAGCGAACUGUGAACAAUUACAAUUCAAAUACAGUAGUCAAGCAAGACUUUGCAGUAGCGAAGCAAGUUGAUGGGUGGGCAGCACACAUCACCGACACAACUCGGCACCAGAGCUGGCAGAGCACCCCACCACCAGAUCAUGCUGGAUCCACCCCUAGUAAUAUUAAUAUUAUUAUAUAUGGUGAAGGUUGAAUAAAUAUAAAUUUUAUGACCAUUUUGGAUGUACAGAUGUAACAGACAUACCACUGAUGAAUAUAUCUGUCACCUGUCAACAUUUGUAAUAAUUUACUAUCUUAACAGAAAGCAAGUUUUUAUUGGAAUCAUACAUCAUGAACAAAACUGUUCACUUCCAUUAUGCCAGACUAUCUAACACCAGACAAUUUUACUCAUCAAUGGGGAAGCUCUGCAGCUCAAUGGUUUACCAAAAAAUCUGACCAUGUCUCUAGGUUAACCCAUUGAGCCACAAUGUGCCCUACUUAGACUAAGAAAUAUAUAUUUCUGAAUAGCAAUAAAAUAUUCUAUAGUUUUGUGUGCAAGUUCACACAUUUGCAUCCAUCAAGAAUAGAAAAUCAACUACAAAAUUGGUAGUGUGAACCAAGCUUUAGAACAUGUACAGUUUGUCAUCUAAUCUGUAAUGUGAGAUGUUUUUGUUGUGUUUAAAUAUACAUUUAUACAAUUUAAUCUUGAAAAGCUUCAAAAAACAUUUCAUAUAUGUCUUUGCAAAGGUUUUAUACAUCAUAAAGCUAAGUCAUUAGCUUUGAUGGCCUAACCUUUGCCGAGAUGUUCGAUAUGUAGUUGCCAUGGAAAUGUUGGAGCUGAAGUUAUGAAUGCUCAAAAGAGUUAAGGGUUAUGUGUCCAUGACUCUCACUUUUUGAAUUCUGAAAAUAUGCACAAAUUGUGUAUUUGACCUCUCUUAAAUUAUGCUUC
rnacentral:lncRNA from 1 species